GGCGAACGCUGGCGGCAGGCCUAACACAUGCAAGUCGGACGAAGUCUUCGGACUUAGUGGCGGACGGGUGAGUAACACGUGGGAACGUGCCUUUAGGUUCGGAAUAACUCAGGGAAACUUGUGCUAAUACCGAAUGUGCCCUUCGGGGGAAAGAUUUAUCGCCUUUAGAGCGGCCCGCGUCUGAUUAGCUAGUUGGUGAGGUAAAGGCUCACCAAGGCGACGAUCAGUAGCUGGUCUGAGAGGAUGAUCAGCCACAUUGGGACUGAGACACGGCCCAAACUCCUACGGGAGGCAGCAGUGGGGAAUCUUGCGCAAUGGGCGAAAGCCUGACGCAGCCAUGCCGCGUGAAUGAUGAAGGUCUUAGGAUUGUAAAAUUCUUUCACCGGGGACGAUAAUGACGGUACCCGGAGAAGAAGCCCCGGCUAACUUCGUGCCAGCCGCCGCAGUAAUAC
rnacentral:rRNA from 1 species